GUCGAGUUUUUCUAAUUGCAAAGGAAAGUUGACUUCGAGUGGCGGGUUCUUUGAGGCUUGGCGGUCUUUUGUUAACACUGUCAUUUUUUUUGUUCGUGUUAUACUGUUCUAUUAGAUCGGCGAUCUCUUCUUCAUGCACUGCAAAGUACAAAGCUCGAAGAAGGGCGUCGUCGAGCGAGGUGGGAGCUUGUACUGCCAUUUAUUCUUUGAAUUUGGAUGAGAACGAAACACGUUCUUUAAUUCUGCGAGAGAGACUCCCUCAUGCAUAUGCAAGAUCCUGACUUUGAUGUCUAUGAAUUUGUUGAUGUACAGCCAGAGGCUCAAAUGGCACUUUUCUGGGAUUCCAGAAGUCGUCCUCGGUUGCUCUUGUUUUUAUGAAAACUGAGUAUUAUUUUAGGAAGGUUGACACAAGUUGGGUGAAAU
rnacentral:lncRNA from 1 species